rnacentral:snRNA from 1 species
AAGGACAGAAAUCCUAAAUUC